AUGAGAACACGUCGACAGGAGGAGGCCGAGGGAAGGAGAGCGAGGCCGACGGGUAAUCGGGGGAUUAGAUCCGUGCAAAAGUGUCAUUUCUCUUCGACGUGGUAUUCCAGCUCUUUUAUGAGAGACAUUCGGGGCGCCACCCCCCCCCUCUCUGUCGUCUGCAGACUCUCCCCUGGCACCCGUUGGGCGGCGCGGCCGUGGGCCGGCAUAGACGGCGGGAUAAUGAGCUCCCGUUGCCUUGUCAACGCCGGCCCCCGUUUUCCAGCGGCCGAGCUUUCUGGUUCUCGGUUUGUCUGCUCCCCCCGGCGCGCAGAGCUCUUCAGUAAAUAAAGCAUCUGGCCGGCGGAUGAGACUUGGUGUCGUCUUUAGAUCCUUUCCAAAGGACAAAUGUUUCCUCACUGAAGAGGCCCGAAAGGUCUUUGCGUGGGCGGCUACAUUUACCUGACGACGGGAUAAUAGCCACGUUAAAAGGCUCUAAAAACAGAGUUACGGACAUUAUGAUCGGCCUAUUUUAGGUUUAAUUCUCUUUUGGCGUCAAAAGGUUUUCCCUCCUCACUUCCUCCUUUCCAAACCUCCUCGACCUUCAGUCUGAAGAGAUCCGUGUUCACUUUGGUCGAGGGUCGAACACAGAAAAAAGGAAUGAAAUACUUUGCCGUUUGAAUAAAAGGUCAAGGAGAAACACCUGAGAAGUAAAGAAAUAAAAAAAGAAUGUCCUCCAAUACGAGUCCACAGUCGGUCGGCCGCUUAAACAGGCCGUGUGUGAAAAGAGGGUCCGCAACCCCGAUCUCCUCAUGACAGGAAGGGGAUUUACUUUAGGAAAUGUGGAGCAUCAAAACCAGAAGUCCAGAAGACUGAUAUGAUAAAUAAUUAGCAUAGCAACCCAUCGGCGCGCAGCACCAAAGAGCAAAAGGCCUGAUUUUUUUUCCAAAACGUCUGUAUCCGCGAGAAGCCGAUUUCUCUACUUUCUUUCCGUUUUUAAAGCACCUUGUGCUCUUGGACGCAACGACAAAUGUUAGUUUUCAUCUCCGAGGACGGGCCGCAUUCCAACGCGCUCCGCGUCUCCACCGGAGCGGUGACAUUGUCUGUGAGCUGCCGUUCUCUCCCCCACCCAGUGUCUCUGGUGAGUGAGUGACAUGACGGUGUUGACACACACACACACACACGCACACACACACACACGCACACACGCCCCAUCUGGCUGCCACGAUGAGGCAACUACCGUCAACACAACGUCAACACGUUCCCGUCUUCAGCAUCGGCUUUGUUUACCAGCUCGCUAUAAAUCGCGCUGAAAUGACGCCGAUUUUCUGGGCGCAUGCAGAGAACAUUUCACAGCAUCCGGACCCGCAUCCCUCUCCGGAGGCCAUCGUUCAUUUUAUUUACAGCCAGCCGUCCGGUGUCUCCCUCAAUAUUAACGUGGCAUCAAUCGGUCCUUCGUGUCUCGGUUUGCAAAAAAAAGAAAACGCGUUUCUUUACGGUCAAUGUGGAAUAAAAGUGUUUAGAGAAGCUAAUGCUUCUCUUCCUUCCUCCAGACUCUUUAUUCCUGUUAAAAAACACGAGGGAUCCGCCCCCCUCGCUGCAUUAAGUGAUUCUUAUUGAAGCCUCGCGAACGGCAUCCAAACUGGAGACAUUGAGUCUCUGGAGACGGAGAAAGCGAUUCUGCAUACGUGAGCCACAGAGAGCGAAUACAAAGCAGGGAAAUGAAGACGGAGAGAAGAAGAAAACCCCCCCGAUUGGGAGCGACAGCGCGAAGGGAACAGCUGAAAGACGUUGUGGGGCCCCAGGUGAGCCCUGUGGGGGGUCAUUUACGGCCCUGUGGGCCCACUGGGUCAGCUGAAAGACUCGCUGCCAAGAGAAACAACACAGCGGAAAGCCCCCCCCGCACACACACACACACACACACACACACGCUUAUUUACUGUAGUUGAGGCUAUUUUGGAGAAAUAAAAUCUGGAGUGCGGGUGCAAGCUGUAUCAUUUGGUUCGGGUUCGAAAGUCACUGCUGGUAAUGUGUGUAUCACAAAUUCUAUCCAGCUAUAAACGGCACUGAAAGAAGUGAAAAAACUCGACGCUCUUAUGUAACACAAUCUAUUCAGGGCAUUUCGAGCACCAGGCUCUUCCUCAGAAACAUUACAGGGAAAUAAAAACCCUUCUGCCGGCGGAGACUUGGACGGAAGGACCAUCAGUCAGAGUUAUGUUGGAAAUCCAACUGGGUGCGCCGGCCUUUGGUCCCGUUUGUUUUUUAUCAAAAUGAUUUAAAAAAAAGAAGGCUCCCAACGCCCUUCUAGGUCGCCAACAAAUUAGUCGUCUGCAAUCAGCGUAUUUAGAUCACCGAUCGUUGUCAUUGACUGUAUAAAAAAGGACGCUGCGGUAAAAUAACCCAGAACGAAGUGAACUGGGGAGCAUUGAAGCUCCUCCAGUCAAACGAUUCCUGCGCUGGAUCCUUUCUGCUCCCACAUCCUGGCGCUUGUGUGGUUUUCGCUCGCCGCAAAUCACCUCACGCGCAGUCGGAUCCAAGGCAGCGUGCGAUUGGCCGACCCCCCCACCGUAGCAGCUACAUCCAGAACUCGAUGGGUGGAGACUUAUCUCUUGGUAUCAGGGCUGCAGCGACACAUUUUUCUUCAUUGAUGAUUAAUAUGUUAUUUUUAGGGAGGCCAGAAGAAAAAAAGUAAACCCCCACCGUUAAUUUAUUCGUUUCUUUCCUGCCGCCUGCCCUCUCCUGUAGUUCUUCGUGCGUAACAAGACGGUUCCCUGAGUUCUUCUAAUCCAUCCCUGCCGCGCAGGCCGACUGGAGAGCAGCGUCCACGCUGCCCUUUGUUUCUUCAGUUGUACUCGCUGUCUUGUGAGAGUGAAUACAGAUUCAUAUGUUGUAUUGUAACGCAAUGCAGAUGUAAAACUAGGGGGCUGCUCGUCAAAACCCGGAAGAAGCCAUCUUGGCUGGUUGGGAUUUUAGAGAAUAGAAUUUGUGUAGAAAAGGGGGGACUUUCAUUUCCGGGGUGUCAAAAAUGUACAGCCUUCAUUUACCACUCGAAUCCUUUAGUUCAAUGACAAGCAAACAAGCGUUUGUGGCGUCAGUCUCCAGUUGUGAGUCUUCUUCAUUGCAACACACAAUUCCAACGAACCUUAAAGCAAAGUGAGAUUCAGUGCGGGUCUGCAAGUGGCCACUUUCGCUCCCUGCGUGCAAAGAUCUAAAGAUGGACUACGGCCGAUUUGGCAAACCGGGCUGCAAAAGACACCAAUGAGUACGUCCACUUCUCAUUGGGGUCAAGCUGUGCAGAAAUGCACUGGAAUGCCAGCAAAUGUCCAUCUAGGAACAGUCCUCAAAGGACAUUCCUUUACUGUACUCUGUGAAUGCAAGGGGGUGUCCCAGCAUGCAUUGCUGCAGGGAGGUUAAAGCUUUUGGAUUGUAACCAACCGGUGCGAAGAAAGUGCACCAAGCACGACAGAUUCUUGUAGUUGUAUCCGUCGUGGGGGGGGGGGGGGCGUCUCAAUGGUUAGGCAGAUAGCCCGACCACAGUGGGACAUUUGAGACGAGGCUGGGAGAAACGCCACGAAAGACACCAUAAAGACACAAAGACGUUCGGGAGAAGCUAAAGAACAUUUGUGGACAACCAACUGGCGGAGGGGGGUCGAAAAAGACGGAGCGGG
ensembl:lncRNA